rnacentral:misc_RNA from 1 species
CAGAAAUUGUAAACGGGGGAAACCCCUUUACUUUUCAUCCACCCCUAUGUGAACCAUUGCGUGGGUUAGUACGGGUUUGAAACACCCGGAAGGCCUGCGUCUUUUCUAUAUACCCCUAGAAAGUCUCAGAAUGUAAUCUGCGUCUAACGCAUAAAUA